rnacentral:rRNA from 1 species
UACGGAGGGUGCAAGCGUUAUCCGGAUUCACUGGGUUUAAAGGGUGCGUAGGUGGGUUUGUAAGUCAGUGGUGAAAUCUCCAAGCUUAACUUGGAACUGCCGUUGAUUACUAUAAAUCUUGAAUGUUGUGGAGGUGAGCGGAAUAUGUCAUGUAGCGGUGAAAUGCUUAGAUAUGAACAUAGAACACCAAUUGCGAAGGCAGCUC